ensembl:lncRNA
AUAACAAUGUGAACAGCUCAGGAGAACAUACCUCUAAUAUAACAUCAACACAUUAUUUAUUCAACACAGUCCUACUCCCUGACUAACUAAAGGGUGCUAAUCUGUCUUUUCUCAUUAAAAGCUACGUAAAUACUUUCCAAAUACCAAUAUUUUAAGGCACAUUAGGAAAAAGCUUCUAGAAUAUAAAAGCUCCACAUUCCGCUGUGUGUGUGUGUGUGUGUGUGUGUGUGUGUGUGUGUGUGUGUGUGGUAGCUGGUGCUCCAACAAUGAACAUAGAGAGAGGAGCAGCUUCUAUAGACAGGAAAAGCUUCAGCUAUGGGCCAGAAGCUGUUCUCUUCUGUCCUGCCCUCACUGGAUCUGAUCUGACCCCCAUAGGAAGCUGUUCUCUUCUGUCCUGCCCUCACUGGAUCUGAUCUGACCCCCAUAGGAAGCUGUUCUCUUCUGUCCUGCCCUCACUGGAUCUGAUCUGACCCCCAUAGGAAGCUGUUCUCUUCUGUCCUGCCCUCACUGGAUCUGAUCUGACCCCCAUAGGAAGCUGUUCUCUUCUGUCCUGCCCUCACUGGAUCUGAUCCCCAUAGGAAGCUGUUCUCUUUUGUCCUGCCCUCACUGGAUCUGAUCUGACCCCCAUAGGAAGCUGUUCUCUUUUGUCCUGCCCUCUCUGGAUCUGAUCUGACCCCCAUAGGAAGCUGUUCUCUUUUGUCCUGCCCUCUCUGGAUCUGAUCUGAUCCCCAUAGGAAGCUGUUCUCUUCUGUCCUGCCCUCUCUGGAUCUGAUCUGAUCCCCAUAGGAAGCUGUUCUCUUUUGUCCUGCCCUCUCUGGAUCUGAUCUGACCCCCAUAGGAAGCUGUUCUCUUUUGUCCUGCCCUCUCUGGAUCUGAUCUGAUCCCCAUAGGAAGCUGUUCUCUUCUGUCCUGCCCUCUCUGGAUCUGAUCUGAUCCCCAUAGGAACACAGGACAGACAGCUAACACUCCUCUACGCCACUGUUUUGCAUAGGUACAAACAUAAUUACAGUAACAUUAUUAUAUACAGUUGAAGUCGGAAGUUUACAUACACCUUAGCCAAAUACAUUUAAACUCAGUUUAUCACAAUUCCUGACAUUUAAUCCAAGUAAAAGUUCCCUGUUUUAGGUCAGUUAGGAUCACCACUUUAUUUUAAGAAUGUGAAAUGUCAGAAUAAUAGCAGAGAGAAUGAUUUAUUUCAGCUUUUAUUUCUUUUAUCACAUUCCCAGUGGGUCAGAUGUUUACAUACACUCAAUUAGUAUUUGGUAGCAUUGCCUUUAAAUGGUUUAACUUGGGUCAAACAUUUCAUGUAGCCUUCCACAAGCUUCCCACAAUAAAUUGGGUGAAUUUUGCCCCAUUCCUCCUGACAGAGCUAGUUAACGGAGUCAGGUUUGUAGGCCUCCUUGCUCGCACACGCUUUUUCAGUUCUGCCAACACAUUUUCUAUAGGAAUGAGGUCAGGGCUUUGUGAUGGCCACUCCAAUACCUUGACUUUGUUGUCAUUAAGUAAUUUUGCCACAACUUUGGAAGUAUGCUUGGGGUCAUUGUCCAUUUGGAGGACCCAUUUGCGACCAAGCUUUAACUUCCUGACUGAUGUCUUGAGAUGUUGCUUCAAUUAUAGCUACAUAGUUUUCCUUCCCUCAUGAUUCCAUUUAUUUUGUGAAGUGCACCAGUCCCUCCUGCAGCAAAGCACCCCCACAACAUGAUGCUGCCACCCCCGUGUUUCACGGUUGGGAUGGUGUUCUUCGGCUUGCAAUCCUCCCCUUUUUUCCUCCAAACAUAACGAUGGUCAUUAUGGCCAAACAGUUCUAUUUUUUUUUCAUCAGACCAGAGGACAUUUCUCCAAAAAGUACAAUCUUGUCCCCAUGUGCAGUUGCAAACCGUAGUCUGUCUUUUUUUAUGUCAGUUUUGGAGCAAUGGCUUCUUCCUUGCUGAGUGGCCUUUCAGGUUAUGUCGAUAUUGGACUCGUUUUAGUGUGGAUAUAGAUACUUUUGUACCUGUUUCCUCCAGCAUCUUCACAAGGUCCUUUGCUGUUGUUCUGGGAUUGAUUUUCACUUUUUGCACCAAAGUACAUUCAUCUCUAGGAGACAGAACACGUCUCCUUCCUGAGCGGUAUGACGGCUGCGUGGUCGCAUGGUGUUUAUACUUGUGUACUAUUGUUUGUACAGACGGAUGUGGUACCUUCAGGCGUUUGGAAAUUGCUCCCAAGGAUGAACCAGACUUGUGGAGGUCUACAAAUUUUUUUCUGAGGGCUUGGCUGAUUUCUUUUGAUUUUCCCAUGAUGUCAAGCAAAUAGGCACUGAGUUUUAAGGUAGGCCUUGAAAUACAUCCACAGGUACACCUCCAAUUGACUCAAAUGAUGUCAAUUAGCCUAUCAGAAGCUUCUAAAGCCAUGACAUCAUUUUCUGGAAUUUUCCAGGCACAGUCAACUUAGUGUAUGUAAACUUCUGACCCACUGGAAUUGUGAUACAGGGAAUUAUAAGUGAAAUAAUUGUUGGAAAAAUGACUUGUGUCUUGCACAAAGUAACUGUCCUAACCG